AUUAACUUGACCUCUCUUACAUGAAUUUGUAACUUGGCUUACCGAACAAUCUGAUUGAUUUCACUAUGGGGUGGCAUUUCUCAAGUAAUCCAAUAUGGUUCUCAGUUAGCAGCUGUGAGAGCGUACUCUUUUGAGGGAAAUUUUCGUCGAGGAGAAGAAAGUAUAUGUAAGAGAUUUUGUGAAGCUUUUUGAAGAGGCUUGAUCUAUUUUUUCACAUUUCAAGCAGAUUUAUGGGCUACAUAUAAAUGGAGCCUUUUGUCCAGAAAAUAUAGUU